rnacentral:rRNA from 1 species
GCAGGGUUGUGUGCAAACACCGAGGCUAAUAACGACUAACACUCAGCGUUAUAGGACGUGUACUUUUUGCAUGAUGGGUGAACAAGGGGGGUGGGGGGAUCUUCCCUCCUACUAGAAGUGGGGAGAUCUUACGUAGUUUAAUUGACUACCGGAACAAAGGGGGUCUAUCAUUGUUGCGUAAGUAAGCGGUAUGCUGAGCAGUCCCUAUAAUAGCGAAGUACUAAUUGAGUUCGAGGGGGGUGCAAUAAACGAUUUCGCACCCUUGGUAGCGGGGGACAGCUCCGCUAGCAGAAAAGUAAUACGACACUGAUUGGCAAUUACUAAGGUAACCGGGUCUUAUAGUGACCGUAAAGUGUUUAAACAACAGGUGUUAUAGGGGUGGUGCUCUCGUCGUAGUUAGACAAAUUAGGUUGGUAAAGCUUCUUUUUCAUUAGGUUUAUUAUAGUAUGUUUGGUUCCUAGACCCAUUGGGUUGCAGAUUCAUGUGGGACUAUCGCGGAUAAAAUCCUCAAAGAGAACUCAGGACUGCGCUUCAAGGUUUACUAAAUACCAUCUCGCCGGAGGCCGUAUCGGCGGGACUCCUCUACGGUGGUUACUCAACUGUAGGGGGCCAUCUCAUAGUCCUUAUGAUUGAAGGAUUAUUUAAGUGGGGGGGAGGCGCACUCGUUUCUUUGGGGGAGAGGCAGAAUUAGAUUAGCUUGUUAACACUCAAGCAAGAUGGGGCGGGACGAAAAGACCCUAGGUGGUUUGGAUUGAUCUUCUUUGGUAAGGGGGGGAGACUCUGUUGUUGGGGAAACAGCCUUAUAGGAUAGUAGUUAUACCAGCUACAGUAGAAAAUUAAGGUUACAGUUUACUAUCUUCACGGGAGAUUUUGUUUCAAUGAAGCGGUAUCACCGGCUCUAGGAAUAACUAACCCUAGGGGUAACAGCGCUAUACACUAUGGCAGAUCGCAUGUUGUAGUGUGUUUACGACCUCGAUGUCGGCUCAAGUGUGUGCCUCGGUGCAGUAGCCGGGGGACUUGUGUAUGUUCGCCACUUAGACACUUACGCGAGCUGGGUUAAGAGCGGAGAGAUUUAGUUUGGUUUUUAUCUGCUGAUAAGUUUGCCCUUAGUACGAAAGGAACGGGAGCGAUUAGAUUGUGCUUAAUA